rnacentral:tRNA from 1 species
GCCUGCGUGGUUCUGUCGGUUGAGCGUCUGACUUUGGCUCAGGUCAUGAUCUCACGGUUCGUGGGUUCAAGCCCCACCUUGGGCU